GUUUUUGUAUGCUGUGGUGUGUAGUCUGUAUGUGUGUAGUGAGUGUGUGUGUUUUUGUAUGCUGUGGUGUGUGUGUAAGUUGUAUGUGUGUAGUGAGUGUGUGUGUUUUUGUAUGCUGUAGUGUGUGUUGGCCCCAGGUACCCCUGCCAUUCUCCGCAGUGUAGCCUGCUGUAUAAGAAGCAGGAGGGGCCCAGCAACAGGGCAGCGGAAGCCUCUUGCUAUGACGGUGGCCUCUUCCUAUUGUCCCCAAGGGCAGGAGGUGGCUGUGCAGGGACAAGACUGAGGCUGGCGCCAACAUGCAGCAAAGCCGGGAGUGCUUAUCUGGUGGUAGUGAGGGAAGCGGCUGUGC
rnacentral:lncRNA from 10 species